rnacentral:sRNA from 1 species
GGUGUAUAUCCUAACAAGAAAACCCCGGAACAUUACAUUGGUGUCAGUGUAACGUUCCGGGGUUUUCUUGUCAGGAUUUACACC